rnacentral:rRNA from 1 species
CGCCUAAUUAAAAAUUGUUGCGUUAAAAAGCUCGUAGUUGAAUUUCUGCUAAAAAUAACCGGUCUGCUUUUAAUAAAGGUGGUAUCUUGGUGUGUUUUUAGCAAUAAUGUCCUUUGAAAUGUUUUUUACUUCAUUGUAAUAAAUUAUAUUUAGGAUUUUUACUUUGAGAAAAUUAGAGUGUUUCUAGCAGGCUAANGCUUUGAAUACUGCAGCAUGGAAUAAUAAAAUAGGAUUUUGGUUCUACAUUAUUGGUUUUAAGAGCUAAAUUAAUGAUUGAUAGGGACAGUUGGGGGCAUUUGUAUUUAACUGUCAGAGGUGAAAUUCUUAGAUUUGUUAAAGACAAACUACUGCNGAAAGA